rnacentral:rRNA from 1 species
GGCUCAGGAUGAACGCUAGCGGCAGGCUUAACACAUGCAAGUCGAGGGGUAUUGUUCUUCGGAAUGAGAGACCGGCGCACGGGUGCGUAACGCGUAUGCAAUCUACCUUUUACAGAGGGAUAGCCCAGAGAAAUUUGGAUUAAUACCUCAUAGUAUGUGAGAAUGGCAUCAUUUUCACAUUAAAGUCACAACGGUAAAAGAUGAGCAUGCGUCCCAUUAGCUAGUUGGUAAGGUAACGGCUUACCAAGGCUACGAUGGGUAGGGGUCCUGAGAGGGAGAUCCCCCACACUGGUACUGAGACACGGACCAGACUCCUACGGGAGGCAGCAGUGAGGAAUAUUGGACAAUGGGCGCAAGCCUGAUCCAGCCAUGCCGCGUGCAGGAUGACGGUCCUAUGGAUUGUAAACUGCUUUUGCACAGGAAGAAACAACGCUACGUGUAGCGUCUUGACGGUACUGUGAGAAUAAGGAUCGGCUAACUCCGUGCCAGCAGCCGCGGUAAUACGGAGGAUCCAAGCGUUAUCCGGAAUCAUUGGGUUUAAAGGGUCCGUAGGCGGUUUGGUAAGUCAGUGGUGAAAGCUCAUCGCNUCACGGUGGAACGGCCAUUGAUACUGCUAGACUUGA